rnacentral:tRNA from 1 species
UGCAUCCGUGGCCGAGUGGUUGAAGGCACCGGACUCAUAAUCCGUUUUCCUAUUGGAACAUCACUGGUUCGAACCCAGUCGGAUGCAC